rnacentral:rRNA from 1 species
ACAAGCGGCGGAGCAUGCGGAUUAAUUCGAUGCAACGCGAAGAACCUUACCAAGGCUUGACAUAUACCGGAAACUUCCAGAGAUGGUUGCCCCUUUUAGGUCGGUAUACAGGUGGUGCAUGGUUGUCGUCAGCUCGUGUCGUGAGAUGUUGGGUUAAGUCCCGCAACGAGCGCAACCCUCGUUCUAUGUUGCCAGCACGUAAUGGUGGGGACUCAUGGAAGACUGCCGGGGUCAACUCGGAGGAAGGUGGGGAUGACGUCAAAUCAUCAUGCCCCUUAUGUCUUGGGCUUCACGCAUGCUACAAUGGCCGGUACAAAGGGCUGCGAUACCGCAAGGUGGAGCGAAUCCCAAAAAACCGGUCUCAGUUCGGAUUGGGGUCUGCAACUCGACCCCAUGAAGUCGGAGUCGCUAGUAAUCGCAGAUCAGCAACGCUGCGGUGAAUACGUUCCCGGGCCUU